AGAGUUUGAUCCUGGCUCAGGAUGAACGCUGGCGGCGUGCUUAACACAUGCAAGUCGAACGGGAUCCAUCAAGCUUGCUUGAUGGUGAGAGUGGCGAACGGGUGAGUAAUGCGUGACUAACCUGCCUCAUACACCGGAAUAGCUCCUGGAAACGGGUGGUAAUGCCGGAUGCUCCAACAUUUCACAUGUUUUGUUGGGAAAGCGUUAGCGGUAUGAGAUGGGGUCGCGUCCUAUCAGCUUGUUGGUGAGGUAAUGGCUCACCAAGGCUUCGACGGGUAGCCGGCCUGAGAGGGCGACCGGCCACAUUGGGACUGAGAUACGGCCCAGACUCCUACGGGAGGCAGCAGUGGGGAAUAUUGCACAAUGGGCGAAAGCCUGAUGCAGCGACGCCGCGUGCGGGAUGAAGGCCUUCGGGUUGUAAACCGCUUUUAAUUGGGAGCAAGCGAGAGUGAGUGUACCUUUUGAAUAAGCACCGGCUAACUACGUGCCAGCAGCCGCGGUAAUACGUAGGGUGCAAGCGUUAUCCGGAAUUAUUGGGCGUAAAGAGCUCGUAGGCGGUUUGUCACGCCUGGUGUGAAAGUCCAUCGCUUAACGGUGGAUCUGCGCCGGGUACGGGCAGGCUAGAGUGCAGUAGGGGAGAUUGGAAUUCCCGGUGUAACGGUGGAAUGUGUAGAUAUCGGGAAGAACACCAAUGGCGAAGGCAGAUCUCUGGGCUGUUACUGACGCUGAGGAGCGAAAGCAUGGGGAGCGAACAGGAUUAGAUACCCUGGUAGUCC
rnacentral:rRNA from 1 species